GUCUAUGGCCAUGCUGUCCUGAACAAGCCUGAUCCCGUCGGAUCUCGAAAGCUAAGCAGGAUCAGGCCUGGUUAGUACUUGGAUGGGAGACCACCUAGGAAGACCAGGUGCUAUAGGCA
rnacentral:rRNA from 1 species